rnacentral:rRNA from 1 species
CCUACGGGAGGCAGCAGUGAGGAAUAUUGGUCAAUGGACGGAAGUCUGAACCAGCCAAGCAGCGUGCAGGAAGACGGCCCUAUGAGUUGUAAACUGCUUUUGUACAAGGGUAAACCUGAGUACGUGUAUUCAGCUGAAAGUACUGUACGAAUAAGGAUCGGCUAACUCCGUGCCAGCAGCCGCGGUAAUACGGAGGAUCCAAGCGUUAUCCGGAUUUAAUGGGGUUAAAGGGUGCGUAGGCGGAUUGAUAAGUUAGAGGUGAAAUGUUCUAGCUUAACCCGAGAACUGCCUCUGAUACUGUUGAUCUAGAGAGUAGGUGCGGUAGGCGGAAGGUAUGGUGUAGCGGUGAAAUGCUUAGAGAUCAUGCAGAACACCGAUUGCGAAGGCAGCUUACCAAUCUAUAUCUGACGUUGAGGCGCGAAAGCGUGGGGAGCAAACAGGAUUAGAUACCCGGGUAGUC